CCCCAGGUAGCAGGAGAGAUGGAACUUCCCAGAACUUCUUGAAUUCACUGAAAUGUACAGUGUUAAAGGGCCAUCACCAACUUUAGUAGCCAUUCUUCAGCAGUGGGGAAGUAUAAAGAAGAUAUUUGCAUUUCAUCACAGUGAUGAUUCAAACCUCACAUCCACAAAUGUCUCCUCAUUACCAUGAGUCAGCAUGGAUGUUUUUGGAACAAAAGAUUGAAUAAAGAGAGAAGAAAACAUUUGAUUUCAUCUCUCCUUCUCCUUUCUCUCUUGGCUCGUUACAUCAACUCUCAAAGAACAAAACUAAGAAAGGAGCCCCAGCCUGUGAAAUUUACAACAGUAUAUGGGUCCAAGAAGGAGGCCAGCUAGAAGAGCAACAGGGAAACAAGAAUGGAAAGGAACAUCAAGAAGGAGGAAGACCUGGAAGAAGAACUCACCUCCAAGACACAGCCUAAGACGAGAGCUGCACGAUUCUUAUGCAUGACCGUGACGUGCAGCGGCUAAGAUCCUGAGAGACUAACCUUACCCGAGCAACAAGGGAAGUCUGCCUGCCUGUAUCAGGACUGGUGGUGAUGGCCAUUAAUUCUGAGCUUCUCCACAGGACUGUCUGCCUCUGAGACCUUCCUGCCAUCUUGGCCGGAUUUGCAGGGCUGAGGUUUCUGAACUGCAGUGGAGCUCUCGACGGGACUCACAUCCCGAUCCGCGCACCGUCCCAUCAAGCAGCAAAGUACAUUAAUAGAAAAGGCUACUUUUCCAUGGUGCUGCAGGCCCUGGCUGAGCACCAGCGACGGUUCACUGACAUUUGUAUCGGGUGGGCAGGCUGGGCACACGAUGCCCGCAUCUUCUGGAGCUCAUACCUGUACCUCAGGAUGCAGGCUGGGUCAUUUUUCUCAGAGACGACCUAUGCAGUAAGGGAUGUGCAGAUGCCUACGUGCAUCUUAUGCCCUGGCUCAUGAAACCCUACAUCGGCCACCUGGAUGCGAGCAGGGAACUCUUUAUAUCCCGCCUGAAUCAGGCUCGCUUCUAGGUGGAGUGCGCCUUUGGCUGGCUGAAGAACAGAUUCAGUUGCCUGCUCACUCAGCUGGACAUGGGGGAACAUAACAUUCCCGAUGUGGUAGCAGCAUGCUGUGUGCUGCACAACCUGGUGGAGAGGAAGGGGAGGCCUUCCUCCCUGCAUGGGGGACACGGGCUGAUGUGGAGGGGAGGCACUUUAAGCAGCCCUGGACAGCUGCCAUCCAACAAGCCCACCAGUUGGGAUUGCAAAUCCAAGAAGCGCUGAGGAAGCAAUUCUCCCACGGAGGCCAAUGAGUUUCCUCAGGGCCUUCUAAAUAUGGGAUUGCCCCAUGCCCCCGGUGCCUUCCCCCCCAAAACCACU